CCUACGGGAGGCAGCAGUGAGGAAUAUUGGUCAAUGGGCGCGAGCCUGAACCAGCCAAGUCGCGUGAGGGAGGACGGCCCUACGGGUUGUAAACCUCUUUUGCCGGGGAGCAACGGGCGUCACGUGUGGCGCCACUGAGAGUACCCGGAGAUAAAGCAUCGGCUAACUCCGUGCCAGCAGCCGCGGUAAUACGGAGGAUGCGAGCGUUACCCGGAUUUAUUGGGUUUAAAGGGUGCGUAGGCGGAUCAUUAAGUCAGUGGUCAAAUUGAGGGGCUCAACCCCUUCCCGCCAUUGAAACUGGCGUUCUUGAGUGGAAGAGAGGUAUGCGGAAUGCGUGGUGUAGCGGUGAAAUGCAUAGAUAGCACGCAGAACCCCGAUUGCGAAGGCAGCAUGCCGGCUUCCGACUGACGCUGAGGCACGAAAGCGUGGGGAUCGAACAGGAUUAGAUACCCCUGUAGUC
rnacentral:rRNA from 1 species